rnacentral:rRNA from 1 species
AGCCCAGAGCCUGAAUCAGUGUGUGUGUUAGUGGAAGCGUCUGGAAAGGCGCGCGAUACAGGGUGACAGCCCCGUACACAAAAAUGCACAUACUGUGAGCUCGAUGAGUAGGGCGGGACACGUGGUAUCCUGUCUGAAUAUGGGGGGACCAUCCUCCAAGGCUAAAUACUCCUGACUGACCGAUAGUGAACCAGUACCGUGAGGGAAAGGCGAAAAGAACCCCGGCGAGGGGAGUGAAAAAGAACCUGAAACCGUGUACGUACAAGCAGUGGGAGCCUCUUUUAUGGGGUGACUGCGUACCUUUUGUAUAAUGGGUCAGCGACUUAUAUUCUGUAGCAAGGUUAACCGAAUAGGGGAGCCGAAGGGAAACCGAGUCUUAACUGGGCGUUAAGUUGCAGGGUAUAGACCCGAAACCCGGUGAUCUAGCCAUGGGCAGGUUGAAGGUUGGGUAACACUAACUGGAGGACCGAACCGACUAAUGUUGAAAAAUUAGCGGAUGACUUGUGGCUGGGGGUGAAAGGCCAAUCAAACCGGGAGAUAGCUGGUUCUCCCCGAAAGCUAUUUAGGUAGCGCCUCGUGAAUUCAUCUCCGGGGGUAGAGCACUGUUUCGGCAAGGGGGUCAUCCCGACUUACCAACCCGAUGCAAACUGCGAAUACCGGAGAAUGUUAUCACGGGAGACACACGGCGGGUGCUAACGUCCGUCGUGAAGAGGGAAACAACCCAGACCGCCAGCUAAGGUCCCAAAGUCAUGGUUAAGUGGGAAACGAUGUGGGAAGGCCCAGACAGCCAGGAUGUUGGCUUAGAAGCAGCCAUCAUUUAAAGAAAGCGUAAUAGCUCACUGGUCGAGUCGGCCUGCGCGGAAGAUGUAACGGGGCUAAACCAUG